rnacentral:rRNA from 1 species
CUACGGGUGGCUGCAGUGGGGAAUAUUGCACAAUGGGGGGAACCCUGAUGCAGCAACGCCGCGUGGAGGAUGACACAUUUCGGUGCGUAAACUCCUUUUAUAUAAGAAGAUAAUGACGGUAUUAUAUGAAUAAGCACCGGCUAACUCCGUGCCAGCAGCCGCGGUAAUACGGGGGGUGCAAGCGUUACUCGGAAUCACUGGGCGUAAAGAGCAUGUAGGCGGGUAGAAAAGUUGGAAGUGAAAUCCUAUGGCUUAACCAUAGAACUGCUUCCAAAACUCUUUACCUAGAAUAUGGGAGAGGUAGAUGGAAUUUCUGGUGUAGGGGUAAAAUCCGUAGAGAUCAGAAGGAAUACCGAUUGCGAAGGCGAUCUACUGGAACAUUAUUGACGCUCAGAUGCGAAAGCGUGGGGAGCAAACAGGAUUAGAUACCCGCGUAGUC